rnacentral:lncRNA from 1 species
GGCCAAGGUGGAGGAGAGCGAGGGGACCCUGCGGAGCAAGGUGCAGAGCCUGACAGAUGCCCUGGCCCAGAGCAGUGCCAGUCUCACCAGCAGUCAGGACAAGAAUCUGUACCUACAGAAGGCCUUGAGUACCUGCGAACAUGACCGCCAAGUGCUGCAGGAACGGCUGGACGCUGCCAGACAGGCACUGUCUGAAGCUCGAAGGCAAAGCAGCUCCCUGGGUGAGCAGGUGCAGACUCUGCGGGGUGAGCUGGCCAACCUGGAGCUGCAGCGGGGCGAUGCUGAAGGCCAGCUGCAGCAGCUGCAGCAGGUGCUGCGGCAGCGGCAGGAAGGGGAGGCCGUGGCUUUGCGCUCCGUCCAGAAGCUACAGGAGGAGCGGCGCCUGUUGCAGGAGCGCCUGGGCAGUCUGCAGCGAGCCCUGGCCCAGCUGGAAGCUGAGAAACGUGAGCUGGAGCGGUCGGCACUGCAGCUGGACAAGGACCGUGUGGCACUCAGGAAGACACUGGACAAGGUGGAGCGGGAGAAGCUUCGAAGCCACGAGGACACACUGCGCUUGAAUGCAGAGAGGGGCCGCCUGGACCGCACACUCACAGGAGCUGAGCUGGACCUGGCUGAAGCCCAACAGCAGAUCCAACAUUUAGAGGUGGUGGAAGUCCUGGAGCGGAACCACAGUCCUGUCCAGGUGGAGGCAGAUGAGCAGCACCUGGAGCUGCAACAGGAGGUUGAGCGCCUGCGCAGUGCCCAGGUAUCCACACUGAAGGCACAGCUGCAUCAGGAGCGUCACCGGAGCUCAGCAUCCAUGUCCCCACCCUCUGGCACCCCAGAGAAAUGAGUCCCUUCCAGCCCAUAUCCUGAGCAGUCCCUGGGCAGGAGAGAGGCCCUCUGUAGCAUAGUCUGCCCAGGGCCUGGUCAUCAGAGUGCUGGGUGAGGGAGCUGGGGUGGCAGAGAUGAUGGCUGUGGUGACACCCACAGUGGCUU